AUGGACCCAGGAAGCAAGCAGGUUUUCCUUCUUGCUCUUUUGAAAGGUGUCCAGUGUGAAGUGCAGCUUGUGGAGUCUGGGGGUGGCCUGGUGCAGCCUGGAGGUUCCCUGAGACUCUCCUGUGUAGCCUCUGGAUUAACUUUUAGUGACUACUGGAUGACAUGGUUCCGCCAGCCUCCAGAGAAGGGGCUAGAGUGGGUUGGAGAUAUUAAUUAUGAUGGCAGCACCACAAACUAUGCACCAUCCCUGAAGGAUCGAUUUACCAUCUCCAGAGACAAUGCCAAGAACACUCUGUACCUGCAAAUGAGCAGCGUGAGAUCUGAAGACACAACCACUUAUUACUGUGCUAGAUACACAAUGUGGAAUCUUCAGUUUGAACCCAGAAGAAACCUCACUGUGAAGCCACUAACAACCACAAGGAGGCUCACAUUACACACAAAACAUGGCUUCAUCCCAGGAGAUAGUGAUGAAAUGAUUAAGCAGUCAUCUCACAGGUCUAGGGUCCCUUGUUUCUAG